UUGAAAAAUCCUUAGGAUGUUGCUGGCCUCUUUAAAAGGGGGCAUGUGCACUCCAACCUUUUCAACCCACCUGUGAACCUAUUGUAGGCCGGACGAUAACAAGUCUGUGUCUAUGUUUUUAUACACACUCUUAAACAAGUUUAUAGAAUGUUAUAAAAUGACCUUAUGGUCGAAAUAAUA
rnacentral:misc_RNA from 1 species